UCUGAGUUGGAGUUGGAGGCUGGUGAAGAAUGUACUGAAUGAACCUGAGAUUUUUCCUGGUGAGACUGUCCUUGAAUCUCUCCCUUGGGACUGACACCUGCUCUAGCAAGUAGAUCAUAUUAUGAUCCUGAUCUUACAGAUGAAGAAACUGAAACAGAGUGAAGUUAAGGAGACACAAAACUGGAAAAGGUUCAGAGAAGAGCAACUUGAAAUGAUCAAAGGGAUGGAGUAACUUGCACUGAUUAAAAGGACUCUUCAGUCUGGAAAGAUGAAGCCUGAAAGAACUAUGAUCAAAGCACAUAAAAUCAUGAAGGCUAUGGAUAGAAUGAACGCAGACUUACUUGUUCACCAAAUCUGAGAACACUGUUACUAUGUAGCAUGGCUUGAUCUUUAAGGGAAAUCGUCCUAGAAUUAAAAAUAAGGAUGUGCUACUUUA
rnacentral:lncRNA from 1 species